rnacentral:sRNA from 2 species
UCUACCAAAGAUCGCCCUCCGUCAGCGCGUUGCGCCCACGGGGGUAUUUGGG